GGGGGUCAGGGCUCACUCCAGGAGUGCUUCCAGGCUGCUCUGGCUGCAGCACUCCGGCGGGAUGCGGGCAGGAUCCGUGCCAGGCAUGGCCCGCUCUGCGCACAGCCAGCCCAGCCCGCCAAGGCCGCGCGGAACGCCGCCGCCCUUCCUAGAAAUGCACCCUGGAGCUUAAAAGAUGGACCUAAUUGAAAAACUCUAUCGAGGUUGUAGCAGCAGGGGAUAAAAGGGAAAGCUGGGCCCAGAUUAACCUGGAGCUCAGCGAGCCGGGAAGCGCGGCGGCCGUGGCCAGGUCCCUGAGCCAAUUCCCGGCCGUGGCCUCCCGGCUGAAUCCAUGCCGGGGGAGAGGUGCCUUGUUCUGGAUGCAGGAGCUCUGUGCCUCGGGAGCUCUGUGCCUCGGGAGCUCUGUGCCUCAGCGCCAGCGGCGAGGGCCGGCGGCGGAGCUGGAGAGCUGGAUCCCGCUGAGAGGAUGAAAACAUGGGGCUCAAGUUAUCCUGCCUGAAAGGCUUGAAGAUGUGCGUGAGCAGCGGGAACGGCAGCGACGGGACCCCGACCCCGGGACAGAAGCACCUGCACGUGCCCUCCAUCAUCGUCACGCCUCCCACGCCCACGGGCACCACGCUGUCCCGGCGUGGGGAGGGCCCCUCGCCCUGCAGCCCGUGCUGAGGGGGGACACGGGGGACACCCAGCCCUCCAGGACCUGUCCCUGCUCCCUCGGGAUGGGAGCCACAGCUCCCAGGGCGCUGCUGCAGCUGCCAGGGACACGCGGGGCACCCACACGGGUGGGUUUGGACACCAGGGAUUGGAUUUUGUCCCUUUUCCUGACAGCGCCGGGGAGGGGAUCCCCCCACGGUGAAUAAAACCCUG